rnacentral:rRNA from 1 species
UACGUAGGGUGCAAGCGUUGUCCGGAAUUAUUGGGCGUAAAGAGCUCGUAGGCGGUUCGUCGCGUCGGCUGUGAAAUCCCGAGGCUCAACCUCGGGUCUGCAGUCGAUACGGGCGGACUGGAGUUCGGCAGGGGAGACUGGAAUUCCUGGUGUAGCGGUGGAAUGCGUAGAUAUCGAGAGGAACACCUGCGGCGAAGGCGGGUUGCUGGGCUGACACUGACGCUGAUGCGCGAAAGCUAGGGGAGCGAACGGG